CGCGCCCCUCCACCAUGGAAGAGGCCAGCUGCCAGGAGGUGUGCUCCUCUCUGCCCCGUGAGGCUCUGCUGGGGGCUUGGAGAAGAGAGGAGGCUCCAGACUCUGCUCAGCUCUGGCUCACCGUGGGGGCCCAGCCCUUGAUCCUUCUGAGGCUCACGUUCUUCCUACGGGAAUUCUCUAGAUGAAGGCCCAUGUCACCAGGCCCCAGCGAGGACAAGACUGGUGCAUGGAAAGUGCCCAGGUCUCUGCCUCAACAAGCGCUCAGUCAAUGGGAUGUCUCCUCCCGCCUCUCUAUUUGUGUCCCUGCUCUGUGGUGAGUGGGCGAUGUGUGACAUCUGGAGUGGAAUUAAAAUAUAGUUACCCUGUAGUGAAUGUGUCAUUCGGCCACGCUGGGCACACGUGUUCACUUGAUCUUCACAGCAACCCUGAAAGGGAAGCACUUGCCGUCCCCACUUUACGGAUGAGCAAGGACAUCGAGGCUCAGAGAAUUCAUUUAGCUGCACGAGGAGUCGCAGCUCAUCCGUGGCAGAGGCACCACCUGAACCCAGGAUGCCAAUCCCACCUCUAAUGCCCCAUCACCUCUCCUCCCCACUAAAGGACCUGGAUUGGGAGCGAUCUUGCACAGCUUGGAAACGACUCUCAAUAUAAUACUGAAGAAGUAUUGUUGUUCCUGGCCCAGCAUUCUGGAAAAGGCGUUUUUCCCGGCAGGGCAAGUUUGAGCCUGUGUGUGGGUUGUUCGAGAGUCGUUUAAGGGGAACCGGCAUCUGAGAGUCCCACUCAAGUUUCCCUUCCUGCAGCCUACCCUCCCAGGCAGCUCAAGCAUAAACUGUGUUCUCUAGAAUUCCUCAUUUUGGAAUGUGAUCCUGCCCACAGCUUGGAAGCAGAUCCUCCUGCGGGGGGAGCCUGCAGAGGACAGCAGCCGAUAUGGACAACUCAACUGAAACCGCGUAAGGUACCCUGAGCCAAGCCACUCCCAGUUUCCUGACCCUCAGAAAACAUGUAGGAUAGUACGUUUGCUAUUUCAAGCUACGAAGUUCUGGAGGUUUUGUUCAGCAACAAAGCUAACUUAUAUAGUUCCAUUAUUUGUGCUUCAUCAGAACAGCUAACGGAAAAGUUAAAUAUUCAGACCUACAUAUUAAGAGCUUGGAACCAUCAUUCCCAAAAGAAAACACUUGACAAACUGAAAAUUAACAUCUCUUAGACCCAUCAGAGAGCUGAGGUCACAGGGUAAUCUGAUACUCCCAAAUCUGGCAAGACAGGUGUACCCAGAGAAGCAACCGUGAAAUAUGUUGACCUAGAGCAGAAGCUGCUGGAGCCGUAAACUGGUAGGAGCACUUCAGUGUAAUUUUGAGAAGUGCUGGAGGCUGGUGUGGACCAGCAAUUCUCAGGAGUCUCAUGUUCUCCUGAUAGUCUGCGUCCAGCCUCCAGCAAUUUGUAAUCAAGUGUUUUCUUUUGGAUGGAUUAUAGCUGAAAGUGCU
rnacentral:lncRNA from 1 species